rnacentral:rRNA from 1 species
CGGAGGGUGCGAGCGUUGUUCGGAAUUACUGGGCGUAAAGCGCGCGCAGGCGGCCCUUUAAGUCUGUCGGUCAAAUGCCGGGGCUCAACCCCGGGCGUGCCGAGGAUACUGGAGGGCUGGAGACACGUAGAGGCAAGCGGAAUUCCGGGUGUAGCGGUGGAAUGCGUAGAGGUCCGGAAGAACACCGGAGGCGAAGGCGGCUUGCUGGGCGUGAUCUGACGCUGAGGCGCGAAAGCGUGGGGAGCGAACAGGAUUAGAUACCCUGGUAGUCCACGCCGUAAACGAUGGGCACUAGACGCUGGUGGGAUCGACCCCUUCGGUGUCGCAGCUAACGCGAUAAGUGCCCCGCCUGGGGAGUACGGCCGCAAGGCUG